CCCACCUGGCCUAAUGUAACUUUGAAAGGGAAAAAAGAAGGGGCUCUAGCGAGAUACUUCCACUUCAGAAGUUCACCACUACUCUACUGACACGCCUGAGUCCUCCAAGAGCCAUGCUUUCUGAAGACAUGGUAUGUUCCUGGUCUCAGAGGAAGAGCCAGGAAGCUCCAGGGAAACUGCUCUGUUCUCUAAGGUAUUCCAAAACAAACACAAAACCCCCAAGUUACUCGGCUUGGUGAAUUGGGCUGUUAUUUUGGUAGAGGCAAAUCCAGGAUUCAUAGGACCCUCUUUUAAGAAAAAGAAGACAGAACUAUGAACACAAAAUGCCCAUGGCCACUGUAAUUCCAUCUAAUAUGGAGGAAAUUGUGACAGAGGAAAGCUAGAGUGAAGAGGUAGUGGAAUUAAGUGAUUAUGGUUACAAUAUGUUACCUUUGCUAAUUUUACAAAAAUAUAUAACCAUAUGAACACAUUGCUAGGGCCCCUUCCAGGGGCCCAAGUGAGGGGCCCUGAAAUUUAAGCUCCCUUAACUUCAGGUAAACCCACGUCUGGCCAAAUGACUUGGGUCAACUGUCCUCAGGGACGGGAGGUCAUCUUCAAUGGAUAUGAGGCACAAGAUUAAGUCACUGAGAAUUGAAAAUAGUGCCCAGGUGGAACAUUUCAUUAGCAUAUUUGACAUUUAGGGUAAAUUUCAAGUAAAAAUCAAAAUCUUGGGCCCAGUGUGGUGACUCACGCCUAUAAUCCCAGCACUUUGGGAGGCCAAGGCAGGCAGAUCACCUGAGGUCGGGAG
rnacentral:lncRNA from 1 species